UACGAAGGGGGCUAGCGUUGCUCGGAAUCACUGGGCGUAAAGCGCACGUAGGCGGCUUGUUAAGUCAGGGGUGAAAUCCUGGAGCUCAACUCCAGAACUGCCUUUGAUACUGGCAAGCUUGGAGUUCGGGAGAGGUGAGUGGAACUGCGAGUGUAGAGGUGAAAUUCGUAGAUAUUCGCAAGAACACCAGUGGCGAAGGCGGCUCACUGGCCCGAUACUGACGCUGAGGCACGAAAGCGUGGGGAGCAAACAGG
rnacentral:rRNA from 1 species